rnacentral:rRNA from 1 species
CCUACGGGGGGCUGCAGUGGGGAAUAUUGGACAAUGGGCGCAAGCCUGAUCCAGCAAUGCCGCGUGUGUGAAGAAGGCCUGCGGGUUGUAAAGCACUUUAAGCAGGAAAGACGGCUUCAGGGUUAAUACCCUUGGGGAUUGACGUUACCUGCAGAAUAAGCACCGGCUAACUCCGUGCCAGCAGCCUCGGUAAUACGGAGGGUGCGAGCGUUAGUCGGAAUUACUGGGCGUAAUUGGCGAGUCGGCUGUGAAAGCCCCGGGCUUAACCUGGGAACUGAAGUGGAUACUGGCAAGCUAGAGUAUGGUAGAGGAGAGUGGAAUUUCCGGUGUAGCAGUGAAAUGCGUAGAGAUCGGAAGGAACACCAGUGGCGAAGGCGGCUCUCUGGACCAAUACUGACGCUGAGGUGCGAAAGCGUGGGGAGCAAACAGGAUUAGAUACCCCAGUAGUC